rnacentral:rRNA from 1 species
CAGCCGCCGCGGUAAUACGUAGGGGGCGAGCGUUGUCCGGAAUUAUUGGGCGUAAAGCGCGCGCAGGCGGUCCUUUAAGUCUGAUGUGAAAGCCCACGGCUCAACCGUGGAGGGUCAUUGGAAACUGGGGGACUUGAGUGCAGGAGAGGAGAGCGGAAUUCCACGUGUAGCGGUGAAAUGCGUAGAGAUGUGGAGGAACACCAGUGGCGAAGGCGGCUCUCUGGCCUGUAACUGACGCUGAGGCGCGAAAGCUUGGGGAGCAAACAGGAUUAGAUACCCUGGUAGUCCACGCCGUAAACGAUGAGUGCUAAGUGUUAGAGGGGUCAAACCCUUUAGUGCUGCAGCUAACGCGAUAAGCACUCCGCCUGGGGAGUACGGCCGCAAGGCUGAAACUUAAAGGAAUUGGCGGG